rnacentral:rRNA from 1 species
GACGAACGCUGGCGGCGUGCUUAACACAUGCAAGUCGAACGGAAAGGCCCUGCUUUUGUGGGGUGCUCGAGUGGCGAACGGGUGAGUAACACGUGAGUAACCUGCCCUUGACUUUGGGAUAACUUCAGGAAACUGGGGCUAAUACCGGAUAGGAGCUCCUGCUGCAUGGUGGGGGUUGGAAAGUUUCGGCGGUUGGGGAUGGACUCGCGGCUUAUCAGCUUGUUGGUGGGGUAGUGGCUUACCAAGGCUUUGACGGGUAGCCGGCCUGAGAGGGUGACCGGCCACAUUGGGACUGAGAUACGGCCCAGAAUCCUACGGGAGGCAGAAGUGGGGAAUAUUGCACAAUGGGCGGAAGCCUGAUGCAGCAACGCCGCGUGCGGGAUGACGGCCUUCGGGUUGUAAACCGAUUUCGCCUGUGACGAAGCGUGAGUGACGGUAAUGGGUAAAGAAGCACCGGCUAACUACGUG